rnacentral:rRNA from 1 species
CCUACGGGAGGCAGCAGUGGGGAAUUUUGGACAAUGGGCGCAAGCCUGAUCCAGCCAUGCCGCGUGAGUGAAGAAGGCCUUCGGGUUGUAAAGCUCUUUCGGUCGGGAAGAAAUAGUUGUGGCUAAUAUCCACAAUGAAUGACGGUACCGACAUAAGAAGCACCGGCUAACUACGUGCCAGCAGCCGCGGUAAU